rnacentral:rRNA from 1 species
AGCGAAAGAAGGGUGAGAAUCCCUUCCACCGAAGAUCUAAGGUUUCCUGAGGAGGGCUCGUCCGCUCAGGGUUAGUCGGGACCUAAGCCGAGGCCGAUAGGCGUAGGCGAUGGACAACAGGUAGAGAGUCCUGUACCAGUGCUAAUUGUUUAACCGAUGGGGUGACACAGAAGGAUAGGGAAUCGCACGAAUGGAAAUGUGCGUCCAAGCAGUGAGUGUGAGAAGUAGGCAAAUCCGCUUCUC